UCAAUCUCGUGCGGCUAUAUAUACCGCCGGUCCCUCUAAGAAGAUUUUCAUUUUACGCCGGUAGUGAAAGCACCGCACCCGCAGCCGCCCUCGCAACNNNAACGCACAGAUGCACGCGCUCGGGCUGAGCGUACGGGCGCAGACCCUCGUGAUACCGGUUGUGCGUCUAUUUAAUAGGCUAGAGUUACGUUCGUUAC
rnacentral:rRNA from 1 species